UCAGUGGUAGAACGCUUGCCUAGAAAGCACAAGGCCCUGGGUUCGUUCGGUCCUCAGCUCCAAAAGAAAAAAAAAAAAAAAGAAUUGUGUUGGUCUGCCCUAAGGGUGGCAGUUGCUUCCAAGGUCCAGGACCUGACUGGCCCUAGGAAGCUGGCCAGGCUUCCGGUACCAGGCCUGGUUUUCCUUCUGUUGAGUGGGCAAUUAGACAGCUGUUGGUGAUAAGUUAUUUCUCCACCACUGAAAUGAGCCAAUUCAAACCAGAUUAAAAUAUGGUAUAUGGGGGUUGGGGAUUUGGCUCAGUGGUAGAGCGCUUGCCUAGGAAGCGCAAGGUCCUGGGUUCGGUCCCCAGCCCCCCCCCCAAAAAAAAAAAAACAAAAAAAUGGUAUAUGAAUGCAGGUUUAUUGGGAAACCAUUCUCGGGUGGACAGAGAGAGCGAGAGAAGGAAGGGGCAGAGAGAUGAAAAUGUCCAGAUUAUGUAGGGAGGAGCCUCUGAGGGAAGGGCAGCCCAGCCCCUGGGCUGGAAAGUUCAGCGUUGGGGGCAGAGUACACCGGGCAAAGACUGAGGGAUGCUGGGAGCAUCUGGAGGCCAGGUCUGCUUUGCCCACAGGGGCUGUUUGAACUGCCUCCUUCACUCGCUUGUCAGCUGAUGUAGUAUUUCCUUGACCCGUGGAACCUUGACGGCAGGAAGGAAGCCUCUGGGACGAUCAACUUCCGGUGGUCCUAAAUGUGCCUUCAGCAAGACGGAUUUACCUUCAACCUGACCCCCGGAGUCAGAAAGGCAAAGCCCAGCAACAAAACCUGCUGGAGGCGGUGGGAAGAACUCCCAUUCACGGUUGGUGGGGCUGCAAAGAGCGGAAGCUACCACAGAAACCCGCGGGUUGAAUUCCCAAAACCUAAGACGAAGUCUCCGGAGUGAGUCAACUAUACCGCUUCUUGGCAUGAGUCCAGAGGCCUCCGACUCCACAGAGACCAGCUCAGUCUUCGUCUUUACUGCGCUACACGUAGAAGAGCUAAGAAAUGGAGCCGGUUUCAGACCCCCGGACUAGGGGCUGAGGUGCCUACUACCGCCAAAGAAGACCUGACCUCCAGGUUUUCCCAGGAUCCCUCAGUCUCUGCCUGGCAUACCCUGCCCCCGACCCUGAACUUUCCAGCCCCGAGGCUGGCCUGCCCUCCCCCCAGAGGCUCCUCCCUAUAUAAAUUCAGAUAUUUUGCUCUCUUUCUCUUCUCUCUGACUUUUCCUCUCCCUCCCCCACCCCUCCCUCCCCUUUCCCAUGGCAACUGCACUGGGGGGGGGGGGGCAGUGAAUUCACCUGCAAGCUUCCCAAUAAACCUGCCUUGAAUACGUUUCUAA